AUUGAAUUUGUUGAGUCUUUCCUAUUCAUAUUAUUUUUUUGGGUAAUUUUGUAACUAUUCCUUAAAUUUACCCAGUUUUCCAAGAUUUGAUUUUUAUCUAUUGAUUUUAUCUCCUUAUUAGAUUUAAGUAAAAAAGAUUUGAUUUUUUUCUUUUUUUUUUGUUUGGAAUUUAAUUGGUGAAAUUUGAGGUCUGAAUAAUUUGUUCUUGAUUCUGUGAGUACAAGAAUUUGCUUACGUGAAUCAUUGAUUACAGAGAAGGUUUAAUUUGGUUUGGUUAAUUUAGGGUUGAAUUGGAUUAAAUCAGUGGUUAGAGUUUCAGUUAGCUGAAUUUCUUUAUGAUCUUGGAGUUGAAAAUUGUUAUCUGUAUCAUCAAUACAAAUUUCUGAAAUCCAGAAACUGUGGAUUUGUCAUCUUCAGAGCUAGGCCUUCAUAACUGAAGAGAGAGCGCACCAGUUCAAUAAGCAUCGAUCAUUUCUAAGAUACCUGACAAGGGCGAGGCCUUUAUAACUGAAGAGAACAC